rnacentral:rRNA from 1 species
GACGAACGCUGGCGGCGUGCUUAACACAUGCAAGUCGAACGGAAAGGCCCUGCUUUUGUGGGGUGCUCGAGUGGCGAACGGGUGAGUAACACGUGAGUAACCUGCCCUUGACUUUGGGAUAACUUCAGGAAACUGGAGCUAAUACCGGAUAGGAGCUCCUGCUGCAUGGUGGGGGUUGGAAAGUUUCGGCGGUUGGGGAUGGACUCGCGGCUUAUCAGCUUGUUGGUGGGGUAGUGGCUUACCAAGGCUUUGACGGGUAGCCGGCCUGAGAGGGUGACCGGCCACAUUGGGACUGAGAUACGGCCCAGACUCCUACGGGAGGCAGCAGUGGGGAAUAUUGCACAAUGGGCGGAAGCCUGAUGCAGCAACGCCGCGUGCGGGAUGACGGCCUUCGGGUUGUAGACCGCUUUCGCCUGUGACGAAGCGUGAGUGACGGUAAUGGGUAAAGAAGCACCGGCUAACUACGUG